rnacentral:lncRNA from 1 species
AGUGAUGUAAGGAGAGGCCGGACUUUAUAAAUUAUAAAAUGAUAGAGUAAUUUGUUACAUCCACAAAGCAAAAUAAAUGGCUCUAGUUUUCAAAUUCGUUUACGUUAUGAUUGUAUUUAAUUUCAUAUUUCUCGUUGCACCCAACAUUGAAGGUAAACUAUUUUAUGUUCUUUAUAAACUUCAUUAUUUAAUUUGUACACAAUAUUUUUUCAAAUAUUAUUUAAGUUUUUUAUUCUCUUUUUUACAGCGCUUGCACGCAUGAGAUGCUUAAAAGAUUCGGAUUGUUCAUUUUAUGUGUGUAGAAAGUCAUAUAAAGCAAUUUUUACUAAGCGCUUGCACGCAUGAGAUGCUUAAAAGAUUCGGAUUGUUCAUUUUAUGUGUGUAGAAAGUCAUAUAAAGCAAUUUUUACUGGUACACGAUGUAGAUGUGUUAAAAUCAUAGAUUAAGUUUGUGAGAGAUUUUGUAUUUCAUUUCAUACUUGAGAUUUGGCAUAAAUGUUCUGCUAAAAUCUUUCAUAAGUUGUCAUUUUAUAUUUAUUGUUUCAUGGUAAUAAAAUGAAGUGAGAUAGUGUCGCUCCCCA